GAGCAGGCACGGCUGGCUCCGGCUGCAGGAUGAGCUCAUCUGCUCCUCCCGGAUUUUAACUCGAUGAUUCACCCGCAGAUGGGGACACAGCCGGGCGGGAGGAAGGGGCCUGUGCGCCUUGUGGGGCCAGAGGCCAGAGGGGCUGGCAGGUUGACCCGGGGCCCCGCGGCCUCCUGCCGGAGCGCAAUCCUCAGACCAUCAGACCCGGUGGAGCCUUCCCUUGCUGCACCCAAGAUCCUCUGGUGGCUGACAGCACAAAAAUGGCCGUUGACAGCAACACGCCCCUGGAAGUCCCUGACAUGCUGGCCUGAUCCCCGGUCCUCGCUACACACCCUGCUGAGGAAACCAAGGCAGUUUAUCUGGAGUUAGAUCUGCUGCUUCCUGGCUGUGUGACCUUGGCUGCUGUCUAAGGAAGGGUCAGAGAGGCGCAGCAACUUGUCCGGAGUCCCACAGCUCCAAGAGUGAGGCGGCGUUUGGACCUGACCUUGCCAGGCUGCAGCCCGUCUCGGCCCCCGACCCCUGGCUGCCUGAGAGGGCUUGGGCCCUCGGGGACACCCUCGCAGACCUGGGACAGGCCCUCCUCCCGCCCACCUCCCUCCGAGCCCGCACCCCGGAGUGCGAACAGAGACAGCCAUUCUCAAGAAGAUUCCGGCAGUGCGAAACCAGCUCUCCGCUCGGCCUCGAAGCUCUGCUCGUCCCUGACCCCUGCUCGUCACCAGUGCACGUCCCCCCCGGUUGUUUCCAGGCUGCUGGCGGUACCCGUUGCUCGGCUGGCCAGCUCCCAGGCUCCCUGUUUCUGGUCACCACACCGGUUUCCCCCGGGGACCCCCCUCCCCCGUUACCCCCGGGCCCUGAGGUUUGCCAGGAGGCGCCUCCCCCCUUCCUUCCUCUGCACAUGGGCAGGUGACCCGGCCUGCCUAUCAGCACGGUCCCACCCCCGACUUCAGCGAUUUGUCCAGAGGUGGGCACGUGACCCAAGCAAGGUCAGGGAGGGUCAGCCUGAGGAAUUUGCUGGAAGUACUGAGAAAGAAGAAUGCUUUCUGCUCUUAUGGCUCAGCGGGUGGAACCGGAACCUGGAGCUGCCUGGGGCCUCACGUGGAGAGAGCCUGCUUAAGGAUGAGGCGAACAGAGGCAAGCCACGCGGAGAGACGGGGGCAGGGGGCCAGAGAUGGCAUCAUGACAGUGCUGGGCCCUGGAUCAAGCCUCGCCUGAAGAUACACUCCUGGUUUUUUCAUUGUUAGCUAGACCAAUAAUUUCCAUGUUUUUGCAAUUGAGCCACUGUUGUGAGUUGAGUGGUGUCCCUUCUCCAAAAAAGAUGGGAAGUCCUAACCCCCAGGGUCUCAGGUGACCUUCUGUGGAAACAGGUCUUUACAGAGGUGACAGAGUUAAGAUGAGGUUUCUAGGGUGGGUCCUAAUCACAAUGAGUGGAGUCUCUAGAAAAAAGGGAAAUUCAGACACAGAGACACACGCAGAGGGAAGGUGAUGGAAAGACACAGAGGGACCACACUGUGUGACUGGAGUGAUGUGUCUACAAGCCAGGGAGUGCCUGGCCGGCUGCAGGAAGGGCCGAGCCCUCAGGGAGCGCGGCCGCCACACCCGCAUUUCAGGCCGCUGGCCUCCAGGACGCAGAGAGAAUGAACCUCUGUUGCUGUAAGCCGCCUGGUUCUGGGUGCCGUGUUGGCAGCCGAGGAGACGCAGCCGCUGUGGUCGGGCUGUCAGGUUCAAGGAAGGAUCCCGAACAGCAGGUGUCACAGCAGCGUCCAGGUAGUUUUUUACAAAAAUGGUAGGUUUCGCAUUUGAAAUGACAGAAUGUCACAUUUUACGUGGUACCCACACUACUUAUGCUGACUCCCCCUCCCCCACGCUCUUCCCGCUCCACGUCCCUUGUGCUGGGCGACCCCGGCAGGCUGCAUCCCGCUCCGUGUCAUCAUCCAGGCCCCAUGGUUGGGCCAAACGUGCUCUGUGUCGUCUUGUAAAGGAGGGUUCCCAUGGUGACGUCCCAGUGGGCCAUGGGGACCACUGAUGUAUAAGAGAUGAUUUUAAGUAGAACACCAACUGUAUAUUUUGCUUUAAUAAUUAAUAUUUUAUCUUAAUGUGCAUUCAGACAUUGUAAUUGCCUCUUUAAACCUGGGAUUUACAAGUAUCAUCGUCAGGGGCUCUGUCUGAGGCCCCGCUCUCUGGUGGGAUAACUGGGAGAGGUUCCUGAAGGGACAGUUUGUAAAGGGGGAGGCCGGGGGUAGGUAGCGACACCCAGAAGAAACGGGCAGCCCAGGGCUGGCCAGGCAGGCCGCUGUCACCACCCUCAGGCCCGAAGGGGUGGGAGGGAGCGGCUACGGGAAGCUGGAGGAGCUGGAGCUGUGCGGGGAGCAGCAGACAGGAGGGAGCUCCGGCGGAAGAGCCAGUCCCUGUCCAUCAUGCGGAGGCGGGGACGGGGGUGGGGGAAACACCCCAGCCUCUCUCUCCUCCCGCCCUCCAGUCUCCAGUCCGGGCCUCCCAUUGGCUGAACCCAGCAGGAAGCUGGAGUGCAAGGGAGCCUGGGUAAUGUAGUCCACAGCGUCAGCCUCCUGGUACACAGAGCAGGGAGGGUCCGCAGGGGCCGUCGGAAGAUAACCUAAGAGGAGGCUGUGGAACCGGAGGCGGAAAACUUAAGGAAACUGUUAAGUUUUAAGCGGGUCCUUUCAGGCACCCGUGAGACCGCCCGUGACCAGGACCUGAAAUCCUGACACUUGACUUCCUUUCGCCCACUGCCUGCUGCCCUCUGCUUCUAUGCCCCCUUUGUCCCCAGAUC
ensembl:lncRNA